rnacentral:snoRNA from 1 species
UUCAUUUCAAUGAGAAAUGUGGCUAAAAAACUCAGAAAGUCAGUGAUGAUAUCAGCUUCGUCUCUUGCUUUCCACGAGACAUUAGUUAAAUGACGUCACAAAAUUC